UUACAUUUUAUAUAAUGUUUAUAAAUAUUUUCUUAAUUAAAGAUUUAAAUAAAUAUUAACUUUAAAAUAUAUUAAUACAUAAAUAUGAUAAAAAAUAUAAGAAUUUUUAUUAACAAAUUAAGUGCCAGCAGUUGCGGUUAAACUUAUAAUAAAUAUAUUUAUUUUUAAAUUAAAUAUUAAAUAAUAAUUAAUUAAACUUAUUUUAAGUAAAAUUUUAUAAAUUUAAAAUAAAUAUUCAUUAUUUAAUCCAAAAUAUUGAUUUAAAAAAGGAUUAGAGACCCUUGUAUACAAUAAUAAUUUUUUAGGUAGUAAAAUUAGUAAAACCAAUAUAAAAUGGCGGCAUUUUAUCUUAUUAGAGGAAUAUGUCACCUAAUUGAUAAUACACAAUAAAUUUCACUUUUAGUUAUAUUUUAUAUACCACCAUCUAAAAAUUAAAUUUAAAAAUUUAAUUAUAAAAAAAUUAUAAUAAGUUAGGUAAAGGUGUAGACUAUAAAAAAGAAAAAGAUGUAUUACAUUAAAAAAUAUUUAAGGAAAAAAUUUCAUAAAAUUUUUUGAAAAAGGAUUUAAAAGUAAUUUUUUAGUAAUUUUAAAAAUUGAAUAAGAAAAUAAAUGUGUACAUAUCGCCCGUCACCCUUAUUACAAAAUAAGGUAAGUCGUAACAAAGUUGUUGUUCUAGAAAGAGCAUCAAGAAUCU
rnacentral:ncRNA from 1 species